GACGAACGCUGGCGGCGUGCUUAACACAUGCAAGUCGAACGGAAAGGCCCUGCUUGCAGGGUGCUCGAGUGGCGAACGGGUGAGUAACACGUGGGUGAUCUGCCCCUUACUUUGGGAUAAGCCUGGGAAACUGGGUCUAAUACUGGAUAGGACCAUGCUGUAGGUGGUGUGGUGGAAAGAUUAGUUUCGGUAAGGGAUGAGCUCGCGGCCUAUCAGCUUGUUGGUGGGGUAAUGGCCUACCAAGGCGUCGACGGGUAGCCGGCCUGAGAGGGUGGACGGCCACAUUGGGACUGAGAUACGGCCCAGACUCCUACGGGAGGCAGCAGUGGGGAAUAGUGCACAAUGGGCGCAAGCCUGAUGCAGCGACGUCGCGUGGGGGAUGACGGCCUUCGGGUUGUAAACUCCUUUCAGCCAUGACGAAGCCCUUGUGGUGACGGUAGUGGUAGAAGAAGCACCGGCUAACUACGUG
rnacentral:rRNA from 1 species